UACGUAGGGUGCAAGCGUUAAUCGGAAUUACUGGGCGUAAAGCGUGCGCAGGCGGUUAUGCAAGACAGAUGUGAAAUCCCCGGGCUUAACCUGGGAACUGCAUUUGUGACUGCAUAGCUGGAGUACGGCAGAGGGGGAUGGAAUUCCGCGUGUAGCAGUGAAAUGCGUAGAUAUGCGGAGGAACACCGAUGGCGAAGGCAGUCCCCCUGGGCCUGUACUGACGCUCAUGCACGAAAGCGUGGGGAGCAAACAGG
rnacentral:rRNA from 1 species